AGGGCGGGACACGUGGUAUCCUGUCUGAAUAUGGGGGGACCAUCCUCCAAGGCUAAAUACUCCUGACUGACCGAUAGUGAACCAGUACCGUGAGGGAAAGGCGAAAAGAACCCCGGCGAGGGGAGUGAAAAAGAACCUGAAACCGUGUACGUACAAGCAGUGGGAGCACAGGUUUACCUGUGUGACUGCGUACCUUUUGUAUAAUGGGUCAGCGACUUAUAUUCUGUAGCAAGGUUAACCGAAUAGGGGAGCCGGAGGGAAACCGAGUCUUAAUUGGGCGUUAAGUUGCAGGGUAUAGACCCGAAACCCGGUGAUCUAGCCAUGGGCAGGUUGAAGGUUGGGUAACACUAACUGGAGGACCGAACCGACUAAUGUUGAAAAAUUAGCGGAUGACCUGUGGCUGGGGGUGAAAGGCCAAUCAAACCGGGAGAUAGCUGGUUCUCCCCGAAAGCUAUUUAGGUAGCGCCUCGUGAAUUCAUCUCCGGGGGUAGAGCACUGUUUCGGCUAGGGGGCCAUCCCGGCUUACCAACCCGAUGCAAACUGCGAAUACCGGAGAAUGUUAUCACGGGAGACACACGGCGGGUGCUAACGUCCGUCGUGAAGAGGGAAACAACCCAGACCGCCAGCUAAGGUCCCAAAGUCAUGGUUAAGUGGGAAACGAUGUGGGAAGGCCCAGACAGCCAGGAUGUUGGCUUAGAAGCAGCCAUCAUUUAAAGAAAGCGUAAUAGCUCACUGGUCGAGUCGGCCUGCGCGGAAGAUGUAACGGGGCUAAACCAUGCA
rnacentral:rRNA from 1 species